rnacentral:rRNA from 1 species
UACGUAGGAGACGAGCGUUGUCCGGAAUUACUGGGCGUAAAGCGCGUGUAGGCGGAUGGGCAAGUCUGCUGUGAAAGCUCCUGGCUUAACCGGGAGUGGUCGGUGGAAACUGCCAAUCUGGAGGACGGUAGAGGUAGGUAGAAUUCCCGGUGUAGUGGUGAAAUGCGUAGAGAUCCGGAGGAACACCAAAGGCGAAGGCAGUGUCCUGGGGAGUACCUGACGCUCAGGUGCGAAAGCCAGGGGAGCGAACGGG